rnacentral:rRNA from 1 species
CCUACGGGCGGCAGCAGUGGGGGAUAUUGCACAAUGGGGGGAACCCUGAUGCAGCGACGCCGCGGGGGUGAAGAAGCGCCUCGGCGCGUAAAGCCCUGUCAGCAGGGAAGAAAAUGACGGUACCUGAAGAAGAAGCCCCGGCUAACUACGUGCCAGCAGCCGCGGUAAUACGUAGGGGGCAAGCGUUAUCCGGAUUUACUGGGUGUAAGGGGGGCGCAGACGGGGAUGCAAGCCAGUAGUGAAAGCCCGGGGCCCAACCCCGGGACUGCUCUUGGAACUGCGUGGCUGGAGUGCAGGAGGGACAGGCGGAAUUCCUGGUGUAGCGGUGAAAUGCGUAGAUAUCAGGAGGAACACCGGUGGCGAAGGCGGCCUGCUGGACUGCAACUGACGUUGAGGCCCGAAAGCGUGGGGAGCAAACAGGAUUAGAUACCCGAGUAGUC